rnacentral:rRNA from 1 species
GACGAACGCUGGCGGCGUGCUUAACACAUGCAAGUCGAACGGAAAGGCCCUGCUUUUGUGGGGUGCUCGAGUGGCGAACGGGUGAGUAACACGUGAGUAACCUGCCCUUGACUUUGGGAUAACUUCAGGAAACUGGGGCUAAUACCGGAUAGGAGCUCCUGCUGCAUGGUGGGGGUUGGAUCGUUUCGGCGGUUGGGGAUGGACUCGCGGCUUAUCAGCUUGUUGGUGGGGUAGUGGCUUACCAAGGCUUUGACGGGUAGCCGGCCUGAGAGGGUGACCGGCCACAAUGGGACUGAGAUACGGCCCAGACUCCUACGGGAGGCAGCAGUGGGGAAUAUUGCACAAUGGGCGGAAGCCUGAUGCAGCAACGCCGCGUGCGGGAUGACGGCCUUCGGGUUGUAAACCGCUUUCGCCUGUGACGAAGCGGGAGUGACGGUAAUGGGUAAAGAAGCACCGGCUAACUACGUG